CAUCCCCUGGACAAUGAGUACAAUUCACACACCCCCCUCCACCAGCCGCCAGUGGCGAGUUGGCAGAUAACCCUAGCCAGCAAACACAAUUUCAUUUGUUUUCCCUUUGGGGUGGAGGGGUGGGAAGGGGUAGUACCCUGCAAUGGCUUAAAAUGGAGCUCUCUUUCUCUUGAUUUUGCUGAACAUAAAGGAUAGAACUAUUGUUUCGAGUGGGCCGGCAUUAUUUGUCCACCUCCUUUGGUGGAGACUUCCCCAAGGCAACUGUUCAAUAACACCACAAUCCCAAACGCACAAAAGGAAUAGUUAAUUCUUCUCAAAAAUCACUUUUCAUAUCAGACAUCCUAAGAGAAGAUCAUCCAUCUUCUCUCCAACCACCCUUUUAUGCUCCCGUCAGGUUUAAGACCCUUGACUUGCCUUCGAUUUUCUACAUCUUUCUCAAGAACUCCUGUUUCCCCAAAUGGCUUAUAUCCGGCCGGAUCCUCCUAAUGGAGGAGGCAGAGCAUGGUUGGUUGUUGUAGGCUCAUUUCUCCUCCAAAUGUCAUCUUUUGGAUACCUCAAUACCUGCGGAACUUUCCAAUACUAUUAUCAGAGUGCCAUGCUCCCUGACAAAAAUGCAUCACAGCUUGCUUGGAUCACAACUCUGC
rnacentral:sRNA from 1 species